AAAACGACUCUCGGCAACGGAUAUCUCGGCUCUCGCAUCGAUGAAGAACGUAGCGAAAUGCGAUACUUGGUGUGAAUUGCAGAAUCCCGUGAACCAUCGAGUCUUUGAACGCAAGUUGCGCCCAAAGCCUUCUGGUCGAGGGCACGUCUGCCUGGG
rnacentral:rRNA from 1 species